AUGUUCACGGCUUUCCAGGUGGACGAACAUACAUUCAAGGUGUGUUCUAUUUUGGGCAUAUCAGAUUCAGAACCUGAAGACCCGGUCAAAGGAAGGAACUACUUCGUGAAAGCCUCGAUCGGCCAAGGCGAAUACUACUACCAAUGCUGCAAGUUUGAACGGGACGGCAUUGUGUGCUAUCACAUACUAAAAGUAAUGGACAUGAACGCCGUGACACGGAUGCCCCGCUAUUUCAUAAGGCGGCGAUGGACUUGGGACGCUGACGACGUGUUGGCACCGCAGACAACAAAGGCAGUUCUGGCUGUGCAUGACGAGAGACCUGAGUCAACCAUGGAAGCCGUGAGGCACGUUGUGCUGACAAAGAACUAUGCUGAGCUAAUUGAUGAAGCGUGCAAGAGUGAUGAGACAACGCGAGUCGCAGAAAAACACAGGAAGGCCCUAAAAGGAGAGCUUGAUGAGAUCAAGAAGAGGAAAGCUGAGGAAGCCUUACACAGGUUCCCCCGCACAUCAAGUGUGCCUUCGUCCACGGGGCCAUCAUCUCAAAACUCGGAGAUAGGAUCUGGAACAGAAAGCACACAAACCCAGGUCAGGAACCCGCCCCAUUCCAUCACAAAGGGGCGUCCAAAAGAGAUAAGGUACAAAUCGGGAUUGGAGAUUCAAGCAAAACACAAGAAAACGAAGAAAGGGACGGGCAAUCCGUAA
rnacentral:rRNA from 1 species